rnacentral:lncRNA from 1 species
GCCGGCCUCUCCUCUAAUCCUCCUUCGCUCUCCUUAAGUAUCAAAUUUAAUUAUCAAAUAAACAAAGAAAAGGAUCCAAAUGAAAUCAACAUCUAGACUUAGGGUUUUAUCUGACAGAAUUCCACGAGUUUUGGUGUUUGUCUAUUUCUGCAGGGGGUUAUCAGGAAAUAAGGAAGAAAGGCCAACAUGUCGGGAUUACAUAG